rnacentral:rRNA from 1 species
AAUGAACGUUGGCGGCGUGGAUUAGGCAUGCAAGUCGAGCGAGAACCCGCAAGGGGGACAGCGGCAAACGGGGUAGUAACGGGUAGGCAACGUACCCUCGGGUCGGGGAUAGCCACGGGAAACUGUGGGUAAUACCCGAUAAUCUCUGCGGCGGUAAGAGCUGUGGCGCAAAGGUGUGAUUCCACCGGAGGAGCGGCCUGCUUCGUAUUAGCUAGUUGGUGAGGUAACGGCUCACCAAGGCGACGAUGCGUAGGGGGUGUGAGAGCAUGACCCCCACCACUGGGACUGAGAUACUGCCCAGACACCUACGGGUGGCUGCAGUCGAGAAUCUUCGGCAAUGGGCGCAAGCCUGACCGAGCGACGCCGCGUGUGGGAUGAAGGCCCUUGGGUUGUAAACCACUGUCAGAGGGGAUGAAGUGCGGGAGAGCUAUCUCUUCCGUUUGACAUAGCCUCAGAGGAAGCACGGGCUAAGUUCGUGCCAGCCGCCGCCGUAAAAC